UAAUCAAGUGUCCCAGGUAACAAGCCGUCCGCCCGUUUGUGUUGGCAGUUUUCAAAGGUGAGGGCCGGAUAAACAAGGAGCCUCUCUGCCGGAGCUGGGGCUCGGAGAACGGGGUGUCCUGAGCCCGCCAGAGAGAGCCUGUUACACAAAGUCACUCCCUCCGUGUCCAGGACUCGCAUGAUUAGAUCCCUGGCCGCAGCCCAGUCUUCCCUGAGGAAGCAACGCACGACGGACGAACAGGCUCUUUCUGAUUUGGUCAUCAUGGGUGUUUUGCGAAAGAAAAUCCUGGAAGAUGGCUUUAGUGUGCAGGAGAACAAAGGAUCCAGGCAGAAGAUUGUCUGGGAGAAGGUGGCCCCCAUGCCAUGAGGACACACAAGCAGAGCCGUGGGGACACACACCUAGAGAAGAACUGAGAGCUCCCACCAAUAACCAGCACCAACUUGCCAGUCAGUCCUAAACUAUGUCCUUCAAGCUUCAGUGGUGCCCACUGGCUCCACUGUGGAGAUCACACCAUCCAUACACUGACCCCACACCAGCUUCAUCCAGCAUCUCGUGUCAUGGGGGCUGACACCCACAUACCAGGAGGGAGCACCUUGUCCAUGGAUGGCUGAAACGGGCUUGAAAUUGUAGGCUCAGCUUUAAUACAGAGGAAAA